UUCUCUUGGUCAUUUAGAGGAAGUAAAAGUGGUAACAAGGUUUCCGUAGGUGAACUUGCGGAAGGAUCAUUAUUGAAUAAACUUGGUCAAGUUGUUGAUGGUCUUUCGGAGCAUGUGCACACUUGCCACCAAUUUUAACCACCUGUGCGCCUUUCGUAGAAUGAAAAAAAAAUUCUCGAGGCAAAUCAGUUUGAGGACUGCUGUGCGAAAGCCAGCUUUCCUUGUGUUUCUCAGUCUAUGUUUAUUAUUAUACCCCCCAAGUGUAUGUAUCAGAAUGUAUUGCUGGGCCUCAGUGCCUAUAAAUCAAAUACAACUUUCAACAACGGAUGUUUUGGCUCUCGCAUCGAUGAAGAACGCAGCGAAAUGCGAUAAGUAAUGUGAAUUGCAGAAUUCAGCGAAUCAUCGAAUCUUUGAACGCACCUUGCGCUCCUUGGUAUUCCGAGGAGCAUGCCUGUUUGAGUGUCAUUAAAUUCUCAACCAUACAUGUUUUUUCAAACCUGUAUGGCUUGGAUCAUGGGAAUUGCGGGCUUCGACAAGUCGGCUUUCCUUAAAUGCAUUAGCAGAACUUUUGUUGCUAAUCUUGGGCGUGAUAAUUAUCUACGCUAUUGAGAGGCAACAGGUUGAAGGAACUGCUUCUAACCGUCUAGUUAUGACAGCAUUGACAAUCUGACCUCAAAUCACGUAGANNNCNCNUUANNU
rnacentral:rRNA from 1 species